UACGUAGGGUGCGAGCGUUAAUCGGAAUUACUGGGCGUAAAGUGUGCGCAGGCGGCCGCGCAAGUCGAGUGUGAAAGCCCCGAGCUUAACUUGGGAAUUGCGCUCGAAACUACGUGGCUGGAGUGUGGCAGAGGAAGGUGGAAUUCCAGGUGUAGCGGUGAAAUGCGUAGAGAUCUGGAGGAAUACCGAUGGCGAAGGCAGCCUUCUGGGCCAACACUGACGCUCAUGCACGAAAGCGUGGGGAGCAAACAGG
rnacentral:rRNA from 1 species